UACGAGGGUGUCAAACGUUGUCCGGAAUUAUUGGGCGUAAAGGGCGCGUAGGCGGCCAAGUAAGUCAGAUGUGAAAUCGCUGGGCUCAACCCAGCAAUUGCAUUUGAAACUGCUAGGCUAGAGAUCGGUAGAGGAGGGCGGAAUUCCUGGUGUAGCGGUGAAAUGCGUUGAUAUCAGGAGGAACACCCGUGGCGAAGGCGGCUCUCUGGACCGAUUCUGACGCUGAGGCGCGAAAGCUAGGGGAGCAAACAGG
rnacentral:rRNA from 1 species